GGGGAAUUUUGCGCAAUGGGCGAAAGCCUGACGCAGCAACGCCGCGUGUGUGAUGAAGGUCUUUGGAUUGUAAAGCACUUUCGACCGGGACGAAAACCUUGAGGCUAAUACCCUCAAGCCUGACGGUACCGGGAGAAGAAGCACCGGCUAACUCUGUGCCAGCAGCCGCGGUAAUACAGAGGGUGCAAGCGUUGUUCGGAAUUAUUGGGCGUAAAGCGCGUGUAGGCGGCUUUGCAAGUCGGGUGUGAAAGCCCUCGGCUCAACCGAGGAAGUGCGCUCGAAACUGCAGAGCUUGAGUGCCGGAGAGGGUGGCGGAAUUCCCCAAGUAGAGGUGAAAUUCGUAGAUAUGGGGAGGAACACCGGUGGCGAAGGCGGCCACCUGGACGGUUACUGACGCUGAGACGCGAAAGCGUGGGGAGCAAAC
rnacentral:rRNA from 1 species